GCGCCGUUAGCUCAGUUGGUAGAGCAGCUGACUCUUAAUCAGCGGGUCGUAGGUUCGAUUCCUACACGGCGCA
rnacentral:tRNA from 1 species